GGGGGUGACAUGGAUUCGACUAUUAAUCGUAGGAAAACAUGGCAUGUCGAAGAUGACGGUUGGCUUCGUAAAAAUCCGUUAAAAUCAUAAAUGACAAAAACAUUAUGAAAUUAAACUUCAGAAAUGAAGUUGCCAAAGCUGCUUAAUUAAAAGCAGCGCGUUCGUCGCAUGAUGCUUGGUAGUGCGAACGGAUGUAUUUACCAAGCGGGUGCCAUGGGAGUGCGUAACGGCCAUGGCGCUCUACAAACGUUACGAUAGGUAAUGGCGGCAUGCUGAUAUGCUAAAAUUGCCGAAAACUAAAAAUCAGCUAAGCAUGUAGAGGUAUUUUGUGAAAAUUAGUGGGACGCGGGUUCGACUCCCGCCACCUCCACCA
rnacentral:tmRNA from 1 species